rnacentral:rRNA from 1 species
GCCAGUGGAGGACCGAACCCGCAGGCGUUGAAAAGUCUUGGGAUGACUUGUGGAUAGGGGUGAAAGGCCAAUCAAACUUCGUGAUAGCUGGUUCUCUCCGAAAUAUAUUUAGGUAUAGCCUUGUGUUGUAGCAUAUGGGGGUAGAGCACUGAAUGGGCUAGGGCUGCUUACCGCGGUACCAAACCCUAUCAAACUAUGAAUACUAUAUGUGGAAUCACAGGAGUCAGGCGGUGGGUGAUAAAAUCAAUCGUCGAGAGGGGAACAACCCAGACUAACAGCUAAGGUCCCUAAGUUACAUCUAAGUGGAAAACGAUGUGGAGUUACUGUGACAACCAGGAGGUUGGCUUAGAAGCAGCCAUCCUUUAAAGAAAGCGUAACAGCUCACUGGUCUAGUGAUUCUGCGCGGAAAAUAUAACGGGGCUAAGAUGUACACCGAAGCUUUAGAUUCAAUUUUUAAUUGAGUGGUAGGAGAGCGUUCUAUUCAGCGUAGAAGAUGUACCGGUAAGGAGCGUUGGAGCGGAUAGAAGUGAGCAUGCAGGCAUGAGUAGCGAUAAUUGAGGUGAGAAUCCUCAACGCCGAAAACCCAAGGUUUCCUACGCGAUGCUCGUCAUCGUAGGGUUAGUCGGGACCUAAGUCGAGUCCGAAAGGGGUAGACGAUGGCAAAUUGAUUAAUAUUUCAAUACCAACAUAUAAGCGCGAUGUGGGGACGCAUAGAGUUAAUCGAGGUCACUGAUGGAAUAGUGGCUCGAAGGACGUAGGCUGUUAAGUAGGCAAAUCCGCUUAACAUUAGGCCGAGAUCUUACAGGCUCUUGACACUCUUCGGAGGAGAUGGAGAAUCGAUGAUACUGUCGUGCCAAGAAAAGCCACUAAGUUUAUUAUAUGUUGCCCGUACCGUAAACCGACACAGGUGGGUGGGAUGAGUAUUCUAAGGCGCGUGGAAGAACCCUGGUUAAGGAACUCUGCAAACUAGCACCGUAUCUUCGGUAUAAGGUGUGCCUACUUUUGUAUAUGAACUUGCUUCAAAAAGCGAAAGAGGUUGCAACAAAGAGUCCCUCCCGACUGUUUACCAAAAACACAGCACUUUGCUAACACGUAAGUGGAUGUAUAAGGUGUGACGCCUGCCCGGUGCUCGAAGGUUAACUGAUGAUGUCAGCGCAAGCGAAGCAUUUGAUUGAAGCCCGAGUAAACGGCGGCCGUAACUAUAACGGUCCUAAGGUAGCGAAAUUCCUUGUCGGUUAAAUACCGACCUGCAUGAAUGGCGUAACGAGAUGGGAGCUGUCUCAACCAGGGAUCCAGUGAAAUUGUAGUGGAGGUGAAAAUUCCUCCUACCCGCGGAAAGACGGAAAGACCCCGUGCACCUUUACUACAGCUUGACACUGUAGCUUGGAUAUUCAUGUGCAGGAUAGGUGGGAGGCUAUGAUGACUAGACGCCAGUAGAGUCGGAGCCAUCCUUGAGAUACCACCCUUGAAUAUUUGAGUUACUAACUGCGUACAAUUAUCUUGUAUCAGGACAAUGUCUGGUGGGUAGUUUGACUGGGGCGGUCGCCUCCUAAAAAGUAACGGAGGCUUACAAAGGUUAGUUCAAAGCGGAUGGAAAUCGCUUGUUGAGUAUAAUGGCAUAAACUAGCUUGACUGUGAGACAUACAAGUCGAACAGAGACGAAAGUCGGUCAUAGUGAUCCGGUGGUUCUGUGUGGAAGGGCCAUCGCUCAAAGGAUAAAAGGUACGCCGGGGAUAACAGGCUGAUCUCCCCCAAGAGCUCACAUCGACGGGGAGGUUUGGCACCUCGAUGUCGGCUCAUCGCAUCCUGGGGCUGUAGUCGGUCCCAAGGGUAUGGCUGUUCGCCAUUUAAAGCGGUACGCGAGCUGGGUUCAGAACGUCGUGAGACAGUUCGGUCCCUAUCUUCCGUGGGCGUAGGAAAGUUGAAGAGAUUUGUCCCUAGUACGAGAGGACCGGGAUGAACGUACCACUGGUGUACCAAUUGUUCUGCCAAGAGCAUCGUUGGGUAGCUACGUACGGAUGUGAUAAGAGCUGAAAGCAUCUAAGCUCGAAGCCAACUCUAAGAUUAACUUUCCCUGAAGUUCCCAGCAAGACUAGCUGGUUGAUAGGCUGGAUGUGUAAGCGUUGUAAGACGUUUAGCUGACCAGUACUAAUAGAACGUUUGGCUUAUUUUU